ACUGCAUGAUGUGGGCAUUUUUGAAUUAGGUCCUUUUGCCUCUCCCAUGUUUCGUGGAAUAUUUUUUCAUCUAUUUGGGAAAAACUGGUUAUCGUUUUUCUAAUCU